rnacentral:rRNA from 1 species
GACGAACGCUGGCGGCGUGCUUAACACAUGCAAGUCGAGCGGUAAGGCCCUUUCGGGGGUACACGAGCGGCGAACGGGUGAGUAACACGUGGGUGACCUGCCCUCAGCUCUGGGAUAAGCCUGGGAAACCGGGUCUAAUACUGGAUAUGACUCCAUGACGCAUGUUGUGGGGUGGAAAGCUUUGUGCGGCUGAGGAUGGGCCCGCGGCCUAUCAGCUUGUUGGUGGGGUGANGGCCUACCAAGGCGACGACGGGUAGCCGGCCUGAGAGGGCGACCGGCCACACUGGGACUGAGACACGGGCCCAGACUCCUACGGGAGGCAGCAGUGGGGAAUCUUGCGCAAUGGGCGAAAGCCUGACGCAGCGACGCCGCGUGAGGGAUGACGGCCUCGG